rnacentral:lncRNA from 1 species
AUGGCCGGUAGCAACUCGCCACCUGCACCAUUUGACCCAACAGCAGCGGACUGGGAUUCGUAUGUUGAUCGGUUCCUGAUGUUCCUGGAAAGCAACGAUCUCGAGGGAAUCACGGAACAGAGGAAGCGAGCGGUAUUCCUCACACACUGUGGGCCCGCAGUUUUCAAGAUGGCCAAGGCAUUGGCCAAACCAGAUGACAUGAAGCAGUUGGCAUGGAAAGAGCUGAGACGGCUCCUGAAGGCCCAUUAUGCACCGAGUGUUUCAAACCUGAUCCGGCGGCACAAAUUCUACAGCCGGAACCAGAAGAAAGGGGAAAGCAUAGGCGACUUCGUGGCGGCCCUGAGGGACAUCGGCGGUGCAUGUGGGUUCUCAAACAUGGACAAGGCCAUGAGAGACCGCGUGGUCAUGGGACUAAGAGACCUCACAUUGCAGAGCCGUUUGUUACCCCGACAAGACAUCACGAUCAACGAAGCCAUCGCCGAAGCCACCGAUGCUGACGCCGCCAAGAAAUCGGCAGCCACAAUGUGGAAAAUGAAUGCAGUGACCUCACAAACACCAACCGAGGCAAACCAGUCACCGGAAAAAAAGACCAUCACCACAAACCACAAAGACAUCAACUCUCCAUCCGAGACCGACGACGAGGAGGAAAUACACAGGCUCCAGUCGGAACGGUACAGACGGGAGAGGAGAGAUCGUAAGUCAGGAUUCCAAUGCGCGGAAUGCGGCGGAGACCAUCCUGGAUCUGAGUGCCGGUUCUUAGACGGGGUUUGCUGGCACUGUGAGAAAAGGGGACACAUCGCUAGGGGCUGCAGGAAUAAGAGAAGCUACAGCUCUAGGCGCCAAGACAGCACCCCCCUCAGAACCAGAGACAGGCAAACCGGGAGCCGCUGGAGCCGCGAAAGUAAAAAUAAGCGGUUCAGCGAACCCUACCGAAAGGAAGAAACCCACCAGACCAUCACCAUCGGGCAUUCAAGCACGACCAAUGUCCGGAAAGUGCACGUGCUGGUGGGCAUCGAAGGCCAGCAGUGUAACAUGGAGGUGGACUCCGGAUCAUAUCUAUCGAUGGUAUCCUGGAACACUAUAAGGUGCCUAAUACCCGGAAUCAAGAAACAUGAGCUGGAACCCAAGCCUGCUGGGGCUGGAAUGGUUCGCGCCAUUGGGGAUCGAGGUGACAGGCAUCAACCACGUCACUGA